rnacentral:rRNA from 1 species
AUUGAACGCUGGCGGCAGGCCUAACACAUGCAAGUCGAGCGGCAGCGGGAAAGUAGCUUGCUACUUUUGCCGGCGAGCGGCGGACGGGUGAGUAAUGCCUGGGAAAUUGCCCAGUCGAGGGGGAUAACAGUUGGAAACGACAGCUAAUACCGCAUACGCCCUACGGGGGAAAGCAGGGGACCUUCGGGCCUUGCGCGAUUGGAUAUGCCCAGGUGGGGUUAGCUAGUUGGUGAGGUAAUGGCUCACAAAGGCGAAGAUCCCUAGCUGGUCUGAGAGGAAGAUCAGCCACACUGGAACUGAGACACGGUCCAGACUCCUACGGGAGGCAGCAGUGGGGAAUAUUGAACAAUGGGGGAAAGCCUGAUGCAGCCAUGCCGCGUGUGUGAAGAAGGCCUUCGGGUUGUAAAGCACUUUCAGCGAGGAGGAAAGGUUGAUGCCUAAUACGUAUCAACUGUGACGUUACUCGCAGAAGAAGCACCGGCUAACUCCGUGCCAGCAGCCGCAGUAACAC